rnacentral:lncRNA from 1 species
UCGCCUACGUCGUCGCCCUCCGAAUCUCGAGCGUGCGGCCUCGAGCUCAUUCGUCGCCCAUCUCCGUCUCCUCUACCGCCUUCCUUUUUCGAACCCUCACGGCCUCUUUUUCCUCGGCUUCCUACGGCUCUCCAAUCCACCGUUAAAGAUGGCAGCGCUCUCAAAGAACCGACGAUCCUCCUAGCUUCCCCCCGAGAGCCGGAGACGGGUCGGCGAGGUUAACGUCGGAGGAUUUCUCCGACUCCCUCCGCCGCGGUGCGUUUUCGGUUUCGGGGGAGCACCUCAAGGAGACAGGGUUCGAUCUUAAGAGCGGCAAUUUCCAAGUCCGCCGAGCGAGCGAGCCCGGAUUGCUGCCAAGAAGGCCCGGGAGGCGGUGGACCGUUACAGAUCUAAGUUGGCGCCGGGGUUCUUGAUGUGGAACAAGUGAGCGCAUUAGAUGGUGAUCGACUUCUUUCUUGACCUGAAUUAUUAUUUAUUUUUCAUCUUCAAUUAUUAUUCAUUGGAUGGUAAUCUUAAUUUCCCCCUCUGAACUCGUACAAACUAUAGUUUUUGCAUGAGUUUGUAUAUUUUUCUCCCUUAUACCAUGUAAUUUGUUCAACUUGGUUAGUACUAGUUUUUGUUACAAAAGGUUUUGUUAUGAUUGGCUAGUUUUCGAACUCACUUAGAUAAGCGGCUAAUUGCUAAGAUGCUGAGAUUCGGAAGGAUUACAUUCCCUCCUGGCCCCUUGUGGGCGAAGUUUGUCGGUUAAGGUUGUCGAGAGGUAUCUAAUGGAUACUGAGACCUUAUACAUGGUCAGAAUUUCCUAAGAUCUUAUGGCAGAGUCCUACUGUGGCACACAAUUUGUCCAUGAAAAAUAUAUGCGAGACACUGUUUUUUUUUUUUGGCAAGGAGGAAGACACUUUGUUGGUCUCAAUCACAUUAUAUAUGACAAUAUGACAAACUCCUCGGGCAGCUUUAGUAAUUAGUGCUGCUUCUCUUAGAUAGGCAACUUUUAAUGCCUCUCUUAUUGGAGUGUAGUUGUCUUUAUUGCAAUGUAGUUAUUUAAACCCUUUUUUUGGUGCACUUAUCUAGUCUCAGUCCCUGCAGCAUCAGGUGCUCUAAAUGCAUGUUCUCAUAAAUAUGGAUACCAUAACAAUAGGCUAAUUAGAUAUUAUCCCUUGUAAUUAGACCUCCUUAACAUUCCAAUCCCUAGGCUUCAAAAAUUUAUAUUGAAAUUUCUAUAGUUAUGAAAAUAAAACAUCUAACUCCAUUUACCCUAACGUCGUCGAUUUUACCGACGGAAGCACAAAAAUAAUGGGCAAAAAGAUAAUUUUAACAUCUUAGUUGGUGGUGACGGACGACGUUGAUGGUGGCGGACAGCGACACUGUUGGGGGCCAUGUGUGGCUGUUGUAGAUGAGAAGAGCGGCAGCAAGAGGUGAAGGUCGUUUUGCAUAUGCGACGACGUCGACGCAGAUGCAAAGCAGCGAAAGAGUCGUUCGACAAUUGCGUCGGUGUCGACACAAAUGCAGAGUGGCCCUUACUUCUCGUUGUCGCUUUCCUCAUCCACACCCGUGGCCCCCAACGGCGUCGUCAUCCGUCACCACCAACUGAAAUAUUAAAAUUAUUUUUUUGUCCAUUAUUUUCGUAUUUCGGUUGGUAAAACCGAUGACGUUAGGAUAAAUGGAGCUAAAUAUUUCACUUUCAUAACUAUAUGGAUUCUAAUGUAAAUUUUUUAGGUCUAAGGAUCGGGAUGCUAAGGAGGUUUAACUACAAAGGAUAAUAUAUAAUUGGCCCUACAAUAGUCGUGCUUGAUCACAUUCUUUUUGGUGUAUGUCAUAUUAGCUCCCAUUAUCCGGUACAUAUUAGUAGCUUCGAUUUCUAGUAGAGUAUUUGAUGCAUUCUAUCAUAAGUAACUUGAUAUAACAGAUGUUGAGAUGAAUUUGCGGCAAAUGGUAGAUGCAUAAUUAAGGAAAUGAAAGUAUGGUGAACAAGAGAAAAAAGAGAUCGAAGAACUAUGACUAAAUGAAAUUUCACUUGUAACUUAGUUUCAGUUUGCCUUGCAGUAAUUAAAUACUUGAUAGCUAAGGCUCCAUUUGUUACUAGAAUUAGUUUUAGGAGAAUAAUCUAAUAUCAUGAUUAUACAAAAUCAAUAACUGCUACUCUCUUUUGGGUAUUACUAUUUGUGAUGUAUUUAAAUAUUCAUUGAAAAGUUUGUUAAAAAAAAAUCAGGACAUAGUGAUUUUAUUAUUGAUCAAUACAAACUUUAUUUGUUUAAGUUGAUUCUACAUUCAAUUGGUUCAGUCUGUUUGAUCAAACCUGACUAUUGACAAAUUGAUAAAUUGAUUUCGUAUCAGGUCAGACUCUGGGUUCUCAGACCCUUCUGCAAAGACAGAAACUAAAACUUUUGCAAAGACGAUAUAUAAAUUUGAGCUCUACUAGCCAACUUAACCGAUCAAGUUCAAGUUGAUCUGAAACUCUAUUUGCAAAAGUAUAAUAUAUCUUUUGAGGUUGACUACUGACCUGAUUUGACCCAGGUCAACAUGUAGGAAAACCCAAUUGUGAUAUGAGACAGGUUUGGGAUAAAACCUACACCCACUCCAUAAAAUUUACAAUUCCUUUGGUUUACAGAUGAACUUCUCUGUCUUUUGGACACUAAUGUCUAACCCAAUCCUGGACAAGACUAAAAUAUAUCUUUUGCUUGAGCUAAACCAUGCCAGGAAUCCUGAUGUUUGAUAAAUUUGACAAGGUGGAUAGCAGCGCAUGCUACAUCAAAGCUGUGGAUAUUGGCACAAUAUGAAAAUAGUAGACAUUAAAUCUUUAGGGAUUUCUAUUGUCUGUUAUUUGACAUUUCAUGAACAAUCAUUUCCUUGGAUCUUUGUUUUGCUCUUCACGAUGGACCAUUACCUGUCAGCAAGUAUUUUUGUUAUCAAUCACUCAACGUUUAUCCGGCAGUGGAUUAUCAGUUCACGGUUAUGAGUCCUGGCAGUACAUUGGAUUGUCAGUUCCUCCAUUUUGUUGGUCUUAAAUGAUUUUCUUGAAGGCAGACACAUUGAAGUGUUUAAUAUUCUUUCUGACAGAUGAUUGUUUGCUAAGAGUUGACAACUUUUUAUUAAUGUCAUCAAUCAUAGUUUCUUUCCUGUUGAUUAAUAACAAGAUCUCUGAGGACCAGUGGUAGGCUGCAGUUAGAAUCCAGUGUGACCAUUUUUGGAUUGUCAGAUAGGAAUACAAGCUUCUGUAGAUGAUUUAUUUCUGCACCUGCAUAGUCCGAAAUAAUAUUGUUCAGUGAUCAAUUAAUAAUGAGACUUUUUUUUUUUUACUUAAAGUGAGCAUUCAGUUUUGAAAAGAAAUCUUGAAAGCCCUUUGGUGCCUAACAACUCAUUUUAUACCAGGUUGAUGUCCUUCGUGUAAUGUUAUGUAAUGUCAAUUCUUCAAUGAAGUCUCCUUAAUUUGAGUUUCCUAAAUUCAGAACACAGUAAUUAUGGUCUUAGCUAAUAGUUUCACAUCUUAAUCCACUAAAUUCUUUUAUUCUCGAGCUUUAUUACACAUUUCUACAACAGUUUUCAUCUGAAAAACACUGCACAAUUGAUGUAAUCUCCUGAAAUCAUCAAAAAAGGGUUGCUAAGGGUGACACUGAAGUUGCUCCUCAAGUUCAAUUUGAGGAGCAGUUUUACAGGUACAUGAUGAAAUCUAUAUUUUUGUAAGAUUAGAUUCAAUGUUAGAUGAUCAAAUAGUUCUAUUUUUAACGAGUUAUGAUUCAAUGUUUAUUUUAAUUAUUUUUGUUCAUCCACAAUUUUAGGUUGGUUGCUGCUCCAGUGCAUAAAAAUUUGCUGGUUCUUUCCUUCAAAGUCAAUGUGGACCCAACAGAUGAAUCCGUUCACUAAGUGCUUCGACAGCAGGAAAUAGAGGAAACGAUGCUGUGCAUCCAUUUCAUUGACAUGGAUAUCCUCGCUCCUACUCGAAGGUUUGCUUCAUAACAUUAGUAUAUGUAGAGCUCGCCUACCUUUUGCCUAGCCUAAAACAUAUAUUUGAUACAUGUUCAGGUGAUCAGAUUGGGCUCUGGAUGAACAAUAUGCAAUUUAAGGGCCCUGCUGCUCUACCACUGCAUCAGAAGAUACGCCUUAGUGAAGCAAAAGGCCGAGGCAUCAAUGUAAGUAGCACGACACUUCAAUUGUUGAGAACAAUGAUAUGAUCGUUCUCUACCACAGUCUUUGUCCUUCAAUGAUUAUAUCAAGUUGUAAGCUUUCCUUGAACGUUUCACAGUCCAUCAGUUACUAGCUUGGAAACUAACCUACAGGGAAAUGUUUCAGUAGUUAUACAUACUCUUGCUCACCAUUUAUUUUUCAUGCAUGCAAUCUCCCAAUUUAUAUAUUGAUUUUCCUGAAAAACUUCAGUAGUACAACUCAAAAGCAAUGGCCAUAAUGGAGGCGCACACAGUCAAUCAGCAACCACUUUGCAUUUCUGGCUAAGUCGGAACUCUGCAAGACAACAAUGCCAAAGGGUGUUCAGACAACGGAGUAAGUCAUGAGGUUUAUCUUAACCUUCCUUAUGAAAUCGAUAGCAGUCUAAAUUAUUUUUUCUUUUGCACUAAGAUCAGCGAGUUGGAACGAGCAUAUGGAUCUCAUCCACCAACGGUGAUAUCUCCGUCGAUGAUGGCAUGCCGCAUCAGAACAAUUUCUUUCACAAGAUUUCGGUACGUGAAGGGCCGGACCGAGGCUCUCAGAAACAAUUCCGGCGGUAUCUUGCUCCUGACCCUCCUUUUUGAUGCCGUAUAUCCUGCAUUUUUCAAGUCUUCUUCAAUCCAGUCUUCUUUGUUCUCCUCCAGGUUCACGUCAACGGUGUCCUCAUCACCCUCGGUUAUCUCCUUCCUCUGCUGCCCUUCUUCCAGCAUCUGGUUCUUGUAGUGCGUGUUUGAUAACUCGAUGCUUCUCUUCACUAACUUCGCCAUCUCAUCGGUGCUCCGAACAGCCUUCUUCCACUGAUCAUCCCAGUACUCCUGUGUCUCCUCCGGAUUCGUCCUUGCUUCCUCG